UGGUAAUGCCGGAUGCUCCGGUUGGAUGCAUGUCCUUCCGGGAAAGGUUCCAUCGGUAUGGGAUGGGGUCGCGUCCUAUCAGCUUGAUGGCGGGGUAACGGCCCACCAUGGCUUCGACGGGUAGCCGGCCUGAGAGGGCGACCGGCCACAUUGGGACUGAGAUACGGCCCAGACUCCUACGGGAGGCAGCAGUGGGGAAUAUUGCACAAUGGGCGCAAGCCUGAUGCAGCGACGCCGCGUGCGGGAUGGAGGCCUUCGGGUUGUAAACCGCUUUUGAUCGGGAGCAAGCCCUUCGGGGUGAGUGUACCCUUCGAAUAAGCACCGGCUAACUACGUGCCAGCAGCCGCGGUAAUACGUAGGGUGCAAGCGUUAUCCGGAAUUAUUGGGCGUAAAGGGCUCGUAGGCGGUUCGUCGCGUCCGGUGUGAAAGCCCAUCGCUUAACGGUGGGUCUGCGCCGGGUACGGGCGGGCUGGAGUGCGGUAGGGGAGACUGGAAUUCCCGGUGUAACGGUGGAAUGUGUAGAUAUCGGAAAAGAAC
rnacentral:rRNA from 1 species